AACCGCAUGAGCAAGUGGUACGUGGAGACCACCGCGCGAAGGGCGUUCAGCCUGGGUCGCCCGAGGAUAGCGUUGUAGGCCGAGGGGAUGCGGACGACCAAGAACCCGAGUCGCACCGUGGCUUCUGCGGGUGCGACGCCCGCAGUCACAGGCAGCUCAACGACACCUUCCGCCGGGACUGCGUCACCGGUGAAUCCUACGAGGGGGGUGGACACUUUGUGCAACAUCUGUCUGGACAAGCUCAUCUUUUGGUAGGCCUCGUAAAAUAAAAUAUCAGCUGAGCUUCCACUAUCCACAAGAACACGUCUUACAUCAUAGUUUGCCAUAGUGAGGGAGAUCACCAUGGCGUCAUCGUGGGGAGUCUGAACCCCCUUUACAUCCUCAUCAGAAAAGGUGAUUACAUUGCCGACCCUCUGCCUCUUUACGACGGCCGUCCCUGACGCUUCCGUCGAGCCCCCUGCGUUCCUCACGGGCCGAGAGCAGCCCCCAGUGAUAGUGUGGAUCACGCCCGCAACGGGUCGAUU
rnacentral:lncRNA from 1 species